GUUCAAUCUAUAGUCUAGUUUACAGUUUAGUUAAAAGUCUAGAAAAUAGUUCGGACUGUAGUCUACACUAUAGUUUAGUUUACAGUCUAGUGUAAAGUUCAGUCUGUAUCCUAGGCUAUAUUUCAGUCUUAAUCUAAAGCCUAGUUAUUGGUCUAAGCUAAAGUCUAAAGUAAUGACAAACUAUUCUCUACUUUCUAAAACAAAAAUUUGACAUUAAGUUGGCAACUAUUGUAAUAAAAUGUGUAAAGAAACCUCUAGGGGAAGGAAACCUAACACAUGAAGUGGUUUUAAAAUUUAAAGAUAUACGUUUUUUGUUAAAAUUUUUGGAAUAAUAAUAAAAUUUUUUUAUAUUUAAUUAGUUUUUACAGGUUUUUUGUUGUUGAAAGUAAAAUUUAGCAUUUGAUAAUACAUACUAUAAGGAAUCGUUACUAGCUGACUGCUUUAAUAAUAGAUCUUGUUUAAGAAAAAAAAAGAGGCCCGAAUUAGAAUGAAAGAAAGUAGAGAAAAAUGAAGCCCUCUCUUAAAAAUGGCUAGAAAAA